UACGGGGGGGGCAAGCGUUGUUCGGAAUUACUGGGCGUAAAGGGCUCGUAGGCGGCCAACUAAGUCAGACGUGAAAUCCCUCGGCUUAACCGGGGAACUGCAUCUGAUACUGGAUGGCUUGAGUUCGGGAGAGGGAUGCGGAAUUCCAGGUGUAGCGGUGAAAUGCGUAGAUAUCUGGAGGAACACCGAUGGCGAAGGCAGGUCACUGGGCCGCAACUGACGCUGAGGAGCGAAAGCAUGGGGAGCGAACAGG
rnacentral:rRNA from 1 species